rnacentral:lncRNA from 1 species
UGCGACCUCACUACGCUUAUCAAGAUCUUUCUACGCUCUUCACGUUCUCACUACGACCAUACCACGAGUUAUCCGAUUGCAUUACGAUCUUGCUGCGAUUAUAACACGUUCUUACCACGAUUAUACUACGUUCAUUGCGCGAUCUUACUACGUUCUCAGCAAUAACGUCAACAUCGUGUUCCAUAACAAUACAGUUCAAUUCCUUCUGUUUCUGAUUAAAUCGUAGAUUUCUCGGAAACAAUACAGUCAUGCCACCAAAAUCUACCAGAACACGUGGGCAUGGUGGUAGGAGUUGAUGUAGAGGUAGAGGGAGCAAAGUAACGAAUCCUGAUCAAGCAGAGAUGUCGGACCGACCAAUCCAACCUAACUUACAACCUAUUGCUGGUCCAU